CAUAUUACGCCGGCGGUGUGUUUGCUCAUAUCAUUUGGGGGGGUUUUUUUUGGUAUAUAUCAUAGCGAGGAAAAGAAACCAACAGGGAUUGCCCUUAGUAACUGCGAGUGAAGCGGCAAAAGCUCAAAUUUGAAAUCGGAUGUUUUUGACAUUUGAAUUGUAAUUUGGAGGGAUAUCUUCGGAGCUGGCGCUGUCCUAAGUUCUUUGGAACCAGACAUCAUAGAGGGUGAGAAUCCCGUGCCUGGGUGGCUGUCCAGUUCCAUGUGAAGUGUCUCCGACGAGUCGAGUUGUUUGGGAAUGCAGCUCAAAAUGGGUGGUAAAUUUCAUCUAAAGCUAAAUAUUGGCGAGAGACCGAUAGCGCACAAGUAGAGUGAUCGAAAGAUGAAAAGCACUUUGAAAAGAGAGUUAAACAGUACGUGAAAUUGUUGAAAGGGAAGCGCUUGAGACUAGAUUUGGCCGGCGGUCAUCAGCUACGUUUCUACGUGGUGCACUUGCCGUCGGUUGAGCCAGCAUCGGUUUUGAUGGCGGGAUAAAGGUUUCAGGAAUGUGGCUCCUCAAUUUUGAGGAGUGUUAUAGCCUGGAGCGCAAUGCCGCCUGUCGGGACCGAGGACCGCGCUUUUGCUAGGAUGCUGGCUAAAAGGUCUUAAGCGGCCCGUCUUGAAACACGGACCAAGGAGUCUAACAUCUAUGCGAGUGUUCGGGUGGAAAACCCUUGCGCGUAAUGAAAGUGAACGGAGGUGGGAACCCUUUGGGGUGCACCAUCGACCGAUCCUGAUGUUUACGGAAGGAUUUGAGUAGGAGCAUAGCUGUUGGGACCCGAAAGAUGGUGAACUAUGCCUGAAUAGGGUGAAGCCAGAGGAAACCUUGGUGGAAGCUCGCAGCGGUUCUGACGUGCAAAUCGAUCGUCAAAUUUGGGUAUAGGGGCGAAAGACUAAUCGAACCAUCUAGUAGCUGGUCUGCGUAUUUUUUCUUCUCCGCCGAAGAAGAGUGUACACACGAACAUAGGAGGGGGGUGUGAUGAUAUAGUGCUCUUUCGCGCCAUACCAACAAUUUGUUAGCGAAGUGAGU
rnacentral:rRNA from 1 species